rnacentral:rRNA from 1 species
UACCCGCAGCACAAGUGGUGGUCAUUAUUAUUGGGCCUAAAGCGUCCGUAGCUGGCCUGUUAGAUGCCUGGGUAAAUCGAUGCGCUUAACGCAUCGAACUCCGGGUAGACCGGCAGGCUCGAGACCGGGAGAGGCGUGGGGUACUCGGGGGGUAGGGGUAAAAUCCUGUAAUCCUCCGGGGACGACCAGUGGCGAAGGCGCCACGCUAGAACGGCUCUGACAGUGAGGGACGAAGCCCUGGGGCGCAAACCGG